rnacentral:rRNA from 1 species
UACGAAGGUGGCAAGCGUUACUCGGAAUUACUAGGCGUAAAGGGCAGGUAGGUGGUCUGAUAAGUCUGUUGUGAAAGCUCCUGGCUUAACUGGGAGAGGCCAACAGAAACUAUCAGGCUUGAGUAUAGGAGAGGGUACUGGAAUUCCCGGUGUAGCGGUGAAAUGCGCAGAGAUCGGGAGGAACACCAAUGGCGAAAGCAGGUACCUGGACUAUUACUGACACUCAGCUGCGAAAGCUAGGGGAGCAAACAGG